UAAUACUUCUAUUAUUAAAUACUAACAUCUUUAAAAGUGAUAAAAAUAAAGAACCUUGGCUUAGGCCAGUACUUUGCUCCUACUGCUAUGUCUUAGAGUUUAAGAAUGUGCACAUUUACAGAUAAUACUAAAGAGUGUUCCUUGUUUGCGUGCAAGUUCAUUAUUCUAUGUGAAAUACUAAAGAAGCACAGUGUUCUGAUACAUGUUCACGUGCAAAUAACAGGAACUGCUUCAAAAUCUGACUUGAGAGCAUGACCAUGUCGUUCACAAAAUGGCAACAGCCACUGUUGUUUCAAUGAAACUUUGGCCUUAUCAGAGUCAACGUGCAGUCCACUGUAUUCCUAAGCAAGUUACUGUGGCUUCUUUAUGUUGCUAUCUUAAGCCUUCAUACAACUUUCCUUAGACAGAACACUACUGAAAACUUUAUUAAUAAACUGACUUUCCCAAGAAGAAAAGGCACAGAAAUGUAUCCAGUGUGCAUAUGACAGACAGGCAGAGCUGGUGAGGACAUCCCAUAGUCCUGGAUUAAUUUAGAAAUACGGAUGCCUAACAAAGACAGAUCAGACCCUGCCUCAUCUCAGUAAGUUUCAGGCCUUAGCUUAAAAUUUCUGACUCACUUCCACGCUGGAAAAGUCAUGAAACUGCAGAUGAGGUCAUUCACGGCCCUCAGGGCCAACAGAACCCAGACCUGACCGCAGAGGUAGUGGCCAUCACUUAACUCUCCUGCAGCGAAUCUGGCACUGGCUAUGCAAAGAAUGUUCUGCUCCCUUCCCCUUUUCUCUAGAUUUCCCCCCUCGCUGUGUGAUCUGACUUCCUGUUCUCAUAUAAAAAAAAGAGCGAGGCCUGCUUAGCUUUCAGGGUUCUCUUUUUGCACGCUUAACCCUCACCCCUCCUCACUUUAUUUCAUUGGUUCUUCGGUGCAGGGCACAGUCAGAGUCACAGCAGCAGAUACGUUAGGUCUUGACAACAGUGUCAAUACCGAGCAGGGCACAAAAGGAAAACCAUCCACGUCCUCCUCCAAUAAGUUUACAAUAACACUGUGGCCGACUUGGCAGCACUCCCCGAGUGACACAUCCGAAACCGAUCGCACAUGAACUAGCGCGGAUCCCCGCACAGCGGCUUUUCGGCACGGAGAAGGCGCUCGAAAAGCCCGCCGGGCUCCCCGGCACGCCGCUGGGGCUGGAAAGGAGCCGCCCGCAGCGCUGACACCGGGACGGCCCGCAGCUCCUCUCCCGUCGGCGGAGGUUCCCAUGCCGGCGCCGGCUUCGGCUCCGCGCGGCUGCAGGGAGCCGGACUGCGCGGGGCGGAGGGGACAGCGCGGCGGCCCCGCGCAUCGCCCCCGUCCCGCCUCAGGAGGAGCCUGAGAGCGGCUCAAGCGGAGCAGCCGCCGCCCGUGACAAGCGCAGCGGAGAUCUUAUCGGCAGGAGGAAGUGCCGAGAUGUCGCGCUGCUUUUCCCCGAACCGCCGACUUUACCAGGUCUCCAAAAUGACCAAAUUCACCAAGGCCACAGCUCGCUGCCAUUUCCUCAGGUUCAUGGUGACUCCCACUGUCACCACAGCUGCGCAGACCUGACUACAGACCUGCAAGCGGAAGGAAAACCCGGCAUGCCUCUGGAAAUCACCCCCGUGAUUCACCGUGUGACAUUCCUCUGAGUAAGCACCAAGCUCAUGCCCAGCUUGAAGAUCGUUGUGGUUUAUGAAAUACAAAUACAUAAUGUACAUCCAAGACCACGAGUCAUGUCUGCAAUGUUCUCUGCAGCAUCUAUGUUGGUAUUUGCCAGCCAUGAAUUCCCCACCACCCUCAGUGAACAAUUAGGCUGAUGAUUACAGCUGCUGUGAGUCAUUUUGUCAGUUUGAGUGCUAAAGGUCUGUGGGAUGGAUUGAACGAUUCCAUUCCUACUAAUGAUCCAUGUGGGUGUGAACAUGCCACGUGAUGGAACGUCUGUGGUUUUGAGUCUUGGAAAUUACAGACAAGGCAUAGUUUGUAGUUAAAAGCAGUAUCUUCUAUCAGACCAACUGGCAGUCAGAAAAAGAUGUGACUUGAAGAGGGUAUCUGCAGAGAACCACAGACUCAUAAAAAUAAUGGGUUUGGAAGGGACCUCAAGUAGUCUGUAGUCCAGCCUCCUGCUCAAAGCUUGGCCAGCUGUGGGACCAGAUCUGGCUGAUCAGUGCUUUAUCCAGGUUAGUCUUGAAAGCCUUGAAGUCCCUUGCAGAAUUGUGUAAUCCAAAAUUAGGAGAUAGAUUGAUUUGUCCCAUUGUGUGUAUGGAUGUCGAUACUGCCUCUAACUAUAAAGUUAGAUGCAAUUCCCUUCACAAGCACCCCUGCUUCAUUCAGAUCAUAGUAUGGAUGUAUAUGUAGUAGGGGAACCUAAGGAGGCACACUGGCUAAAGUUAUUUUCAACAGCUUUUAUUCCAGAAGUUAGAUGACAUGUACUCAUUAAGGAAGGCGGACUGUAGAAGUAAAGAUUUGGUCUGACGGAUGAGAUAGGUCUGAAUUAUCAUUAGUUGUUUGUGCAGGUAAUUUGCAAGCUACUGAUGGACAAGUCUUAAACUUUCAAAUGUAUCUAGCUAAAAGAUAACUAAAAGUUUGAAACUGUUAGAUGUUCCUGGAUUUCUUCUCGAAGGCUUUAAAAGAGUGGAGUAAAAUGAGUUGUUCCACUAAGACCAAUGAACGUAUAUCUUGAUACUACAGGAAAACAUCAGGAAAUGCUAUUAGCUGGUGGAAUUCUUCUGAAUGGAAUCACACUUUGAUUUGUGUGGUUUUGAGGCUCUGUCCUGAAAGUAACAUCUUUUGGGCUUUCUAUUGAGUAAAUAUUUCAAUGUUUUCCUAUUCAAAAGAAUGCUGAAAUCCAGUAAGCACUGAAUGCCUGCCUACGAGAACAACUAAACUACCUUGCAUCAAUGUCCAGCCAUUUCAGAAGUAGCCAACAUCUUUGAGAUAUUAUGAUAUAGUAACAUUCAGUGAAAUGUAAUGAUGUUGCUAUCUGAAAUCUGUGUUCUGUAUUGCUAAAACCAAAAAUAUGCUUCAUUCUGGCAUAUAAAGUUGUAUUUACUGUGAAUCCAAGAACAGUGUUGUCCUAACAUCUAUACCCUUACAGUGUUGUCCUAACAUCUAUACCCUUACAGUAGUCUAUAAGAAAAUUGUUUUCCUUUAUGGUCUUUUACGAUUAACAUAUUUUAUUAGUUUUGAUUUAGGUCACCAGAAUGCUUGGGUGUACAUAAAUUCAUGAGUUGGUUUUGAUAAGAAUUGCACAGAAACAAAUCUCCUUCCCUGUACCCCAUACUCCCCCCACAAAAACCCAAUCAUGCUGUAACGUAUUUUUUCUUAAAAUGUGUGUGAAAUAUGAGAGAUGAGGUGAAAAACAUCUGACACCCUUGAACAAACUACUGUCCAGAAACAGUGAGACUCGAGGCACAGAAAGGAAAAGCGUAACAGUACUGCUAAGAAUGCUUCUUUUUGUUCACCAUCUGCUUAAAAGAACAAAACAGCUGCUUAAACAGGAUGUAGAUAACAUCACCCCCAAUGUCCCUUUGUAAACAUUUUCCAAGGAGACAGUGAUUAGCUACUUCCUUUUCAAGAUAUCUCUUGGUCGGCACCAAGAGGUGAGACACUGUUUAUUAGAAAUAUAGAAGUGAAUUGUUUUAACCUUUUUAAAGUACUUUCGCAGAUAAAUUGUUGUGGGUCUGACAGCACCUUUGAACGCAUGACAGGAUGAAAGUCGGGCUUGGAGAAAUGUGGGUUUUUUGGUGUUUUGUGCGUGUGGUUUAAUGUAAUACCUAAAAAUUCUGUUUUUCAAAUACCAACUAAAAUUACAGUGAUCCUUUGCAUUGGAAAUAAAUGCAUACACAUGAUUUCCAUCAGAUAGAGCUGCUUCAAAAGUUCCAAACAGAAUACACAAAAUUUAAUUUUGCUGUUGCAGAGCCAAAGGCCAGUAUUAAUGAUUUUGCCCACUUUAUUUGCCAUGACAAAUGCAAGUGGUAGGGAUUGUGUGAAGAAGCAAGAGUGAUAGAUAAGGAGAAAGGAGGAGUAAUCACAGGGGUUUCACGGGAUGUUGGUGUUCCAGGAGUGGUGUUUCUCUGCCCUUUGCUGCCUUUCUGAUCCUAUCAACAUGGCAGAAAGCAUUUCCAAAGGAGUUUCACCCUGAAGUGCAAUCCAUCAAUAAGCUCCAGAUUCCUCCUCUCCUAAGGGACUGGCUUUCCUUUUGCAUUGCUUUAGGGGAAGUGUUCUUUUCCCUUCUAAUCUGGUUAUGCUUACCCCUCCCUCCCUUCCUCUGGGCAUGCUCAAUAUGAGUCAGCUGAGGAAGAGUGGAAGCAAGGGAGCAGGAGAGAAAAAGCAUCUUCUCCCAAACUCAUGCCAGCACGCCAUGGAACUCUUGGUGCUGGAGGAUCAGCAGAACAGGGUUGUGAACAAAAAGGUAGAGUGGCUACAGCUAAUGCCAGUGGUUGCCAGGGGCUUUCUGUCAUCUGUUGUUAUUGAUACAAGAGUUAAUGGAAAGCUGGACAUUAUUUAAAAAAAAAGAAAUAGGCAAUUGCGUAGCUAUGGGCUGAACAUUGUAAGCUUAGCAUGUAUGUAUAUGUGAUCUAGGACAGUCAUGUUCUCAUGAAGGGAUAAUAAGAUUUAUUCCUCAGUUGGCAAGAAUUAAAAGGCACUUUGUAAAAAAUUAUGUUCGGAACAGGAUCAGGCAGAUGAAUACAGUAUAGUACAUUUUGAGUGAGCAAAGGGAUAGCAGUCCAUUGUGGUUACAUUUAAAAUGAAUACAGGUCAAUUGUCACCUACCUGGAUCUAAAAUCCUGCAAAUUUUUCCUGAACUCCUAAAACCUUUUCCUUCAUCUCCUCAUUUUAUCUCUCCUUACCUUUCCAGGUUUAAAGCAACAUGAAUUACUUUCUGUUAUAAAAAACUGCUCAGAAUAACAAUAUUGUCAAAUGACAAUAUUAUCAAAUAAUAGCAUUGUCAAACGUUACUCUGACUUUCUGGAUUAGAAACAUUGUCAGUUGCUGGCUUCAGUUUUAAUCAGGGAGAGCAGCCGUAGCAAUACUGCAAAGAAUGUAAUUGCAAAUAUAUACACAGAUAAAUAUUCGCUAGUAUAUCAGUAUUAUGAUUUGAAGGUAUUUAGGCACUAGUUCAGCAAACACAUUUAAACCCACCCUUCUUAUUGCAGGCAGGGAGAGGCAUAGGCAUAUUUUGAAAAUUAAACUGGUUUAAAAGAAAUGCUUACUUGCUCUGAGCAACUCCAGGAGCAACUUUAAGGGGCUCCUAUAAAGUCCCAGCUCAAGUACAUUUUUAGCUUAAGGAACUUCUACUUUCAUUACAAGUGUCUUUGUGAACAUUCAGCUUAGAAAAAAACACACAGUUGUCUAUAUAUGCUGAGCACAUUCAGUGCUAAGAUUUCCGGCAGUCAGGCUACAAGAAGGCUAGGAAAAUUGUCCAGAACUUCUUGUAGCUUCAACUGGAAUUUGUGUGUUUGUUAUUUAAACUGUUAGUUUACAGCUUUUUCUUUUGUCCUUUCAGUGAUUUGUAAAAAUUUAUUAAUGGUAUCUUUCUUUAAUGUGUUUGAAUGUUUCUAAAAUCCUAAGGUAUGAAUCUGAACAGUGAGGUCUUAUGACAACCUGGGAAUAACCUGUUAGAUUAAAGAUUCUGGUACUGUCUGAACAUGGUUGCUUGGAUGUGUUUUCUGUUUUUCUAUCUACCUGUUCUAUUUUAUCUUCUUUGGAAUUUUGAAGGGGGAUUGUCAACAUUUGUUCAGGGUGGCUAACAGGUUAAAAAAGUGAUUUGUGCUAUUUCCUUGUCAAAUGCAAUAAUGUUUCAAGAUUUGGCCUUAAACUUAGUUGUAUCUAUCUUUAAAAAGUCAAAAAACAAAGAGGAAGAGGGAAAAACAUUGUCAGUAAAUUGCAUGACUAAUAACUCAGAAUAACUAAACUAGUGUAUUUUAAUGCAGAUUGCCUUACAUCACAUAUAAGAGCAUGCCAAACGUUAUUAUUCUCAAUGCUAAUUGCAUCAGCUACAGGAUAUUAUUUAAAAGUAUGGACAAAAAAAUUUAGCACUGUUUCCACAGUAGAGCGAAAUGACAAUAAUGAAAGAAAAUUGUGCAUAAAUGAAAGUCAGAUUCUAACAGUAUUCAAAUCAUGAUUUUAGAAGGGGUAAACUAUUUGUAUACAGACAGGAAGGCCGUUUAAGGUCUUUUAUCUCAGUCUGUUGUUGUGGCAAUGAAAAAACAGUUCAAACUCUACUGAGGAUCAUUUUGACCCACCGACGGGAAGCACUAGAGUGCCAUGGUGGCUUAACACUGUCAGGGCUGCUGGAAGUCGAGCACACAUAGAUGUGCUAAGCCAUUUCGUUUUCAUGCAGAUUUUCAAAACUGUGCUGUGCUGAUAAUUAUGGUGAUGAUGCUAAAAUAAAAAGAUGCAAUUUGAUUAUAUUCUAUAUGCUUAAAUAGGAAGGUGCUGCGUAAAUUGCAGAAGAUGCUUAAGUAUAAUGCAUGAAAGUGAAAGGGACAUUUCUUUUAUUUUUAUUUUUUAUUUUGUUUUCAUGUUUUACUCUGCAUGCCUGAAUUUACACACAUGUAGUUCAAGUUAACAUGCAGCCACAUUCUCAAGCAUUGCAUGCAUGCAUUCCUCAGCACUGCUUGUACCAUUUACCUGAUCCUCCUGCUCCCUGAAAUUUAAUUUCAGUGCUUUUGAAAACAUCAGGGAUAUGAGGAAAUUCUGGAGGACUGUCAGCUAUCCAGCAAGCUUAUCUCAGUCAUAUGCCUUCUUUUAUUUUUUUCCCAUUUAUGUAUAGACUACA